rnacentral:rRNA from 1 species
AGCGAACGCUGGCGGCAGGCUUAACACAUGCAAGUCGAGCGGGCAUCCUUGUGGUGUCAGCGGCAGACGGGUGAGUAACGCGUGGGAACGUGCCCUUCGGUUCGGAAUAACUCAGGGAAACUUGAGCUAAUACCGGAUACGCCCUUUUGGGGAAAGGUUUACUGCCGAAGGAUCGGCCCGCGUCUGAUUAGCUAGUUGGUGAGGUUAUGGCUCACCAAGGCGACGAUCAGUAGCUGGUCUGAGAGGAUGAUCAGCCACACUGGGACUGAGACACGGCCCAGACUCCUACGGGAGGCAGCAGUGGGGAAUAUUGGACAAUGGGGGCAACCCUGAUCCAGCCAUGCCGCGUGAGUGAUGACGGCCUUAGGGUUGUAAAGCCCUUUUCUCCGGGACGAUAAUGACGGUACCGGAGGAAUAAGCCCCGGCUAACUUCGUG